rnacentral:rRNA from 1 species
AUGAACGCUGGCGGCGUGCUUAAUGCAUGCAAGUCGAACGAGAACCUCUUGAUAGGUAACUAUCGAGGGACUUCUAGUGGCGAACGGGUGAGUAACACGUGAGCAACCUGCCCCGAAGACCGGGAUAGCCCAUGGAAACGUGGAUUAAUACCGGAUACCCUCGCGGAACCGCAUGGUUCUGCGAGGAAAUGCUCCGGCGCUUCGGGAUGGGCUCGCGGCCUAUCAGCUUGUUGGUGAGGUAACGGCUCACCAAGGCACUGACGGGUAGCUGGUCUGAGAGGACGAUCAGCCACACUGGGACUGAGACACGGCCCAGACUCCUACGGGAGGCAGCAGCAGGGAAUAUUGCACAAUGGGCGCAAGCCUGAUGCAGCGACGCCGCGUGAGGGAUGAAGGCUUUCGGGUUGUAAACCUCUUUCAGUGGGGAAGAAGCGCAAGUGACGGUACCCACACAAGAAGGCCCGGCCAACUACGUG